rfam:Lactobacillus hayakitensis DSM 18933 = JCM 14209 strain DSM 18933 NODE_69, whole genome shotgun sequence.
CUAUCUCAGUUAGUCAAUGUCAUUACCCUCUUGUUAGGAUAUGGGAAUACUAGCGUUAA